GUAACAGCAGGGGACCCAGCCUUCUUGAGAGAUCCCAGUUCGACUCGAUCUGGUCCGGACGCGCCACCUGCAUAAGGAAGUCGCCUGUGGGCUGCACAUUUAUGUGAAGAAACUGAUAAGAAGGAGAAAGAGGCACACCUGUCUGACCACCGGUUAUCGCACCUUUCGGAUACUCGACAAUCACCGU